GACUCUUCUUUAUUUUCUUCACUUCUCCUCGGCUGUCUGAUUCACCACUCUUGGUUUACUCUAUGUGUAAGACCCCAACUUUUAUGAAUAAAGAUUUAAUUUUCUCUAAAUAUUAUUUUUGAAUAAUAAGGUGUGGAUUUGAUAUAAUGUUAUAGUUAUGGGUAAUAUUAACAAAUUUUACAAAGUAAGCAAGUUGUCAUAAAAUAUUCGUUUGGUCGGGGAAUAAUCGUUUUAUCAGGGAAUAUUCGUACGACAGCACAAUCAUUAGUGGACCCCACAACAGAAUUACUUUCGGAGUUAGAAAACGACAGAAAUAACUUUUUAUAAAAAAUAACGACAAAAGUUUUACCGUUAAACUAUUGAAAUACCCGGUGAUAGAAGUACAGUAAUACGCGUGGUUGCAAAGUAGCACAUGGUAUUGUAAAGUAUUUU
rnacentral:lncRNA from 1 species